rnacentral:rRNA from 1 species
AUUGAACGCUGGCGGCAGGCCUAACACAUGCAAGUCGAGCGGAUGAGAGGAGCUUGCUUCUCGAUUCAGCGGCGGACGGGUGAGUAAUGCCUAGGAAUCUGCCUGGUAGUGGGGGACAACGUUUCGAAAGGAACGCUAAUACCGCAUACGUCCUACGGGAGAAAGCAGGGGACCUUCGGGCCUUGCGCUAUCAGAUGCGCCUAGGUCGGAUUAGCUAGUUGGUGAGGUAAUGGCUCACCAAGGCGACGAUCCGGAACUGGUCUGAGAGGAUGAUCAGUCACACUGGAACUGAGACACGGUCCAGACUCCUACGGGAGGCAGCAGUGGGGAAUAUUGGACAAUGGGCGAAAGCCUGAUCCAGCCAUGCCGCGUGUGUGAAGAAGGUCUUCGGAUUGUAAAGCACUUUAAGUUGGGAGGAAGGGUUGUAGAUUAAUACUCUGCAAUUUUGACGUUACCGACAGAAUAAGCACCGGCUAACUCUGUGCCAGCCGCCGCAGUAAAAC